rnacentral:rRNA from 1 species
CUACGGGCCGCAGCAGCUAAGAAUCUUCCGCAAUGGGCGCAAGCCUGACGGAGCGACGCCGCGUGGACGAUGAAUGUUGAGAGAUUGUAAAGUCCUUUUGUCAGAGAAGAAUAACAGAAAGAGGUAAUGCUUUUUGGAUGACGUUAUCUGACGAAUAAGCUCCGGCCAAUUACGUGCCAGCAGCCGCGGUAACACGUAAGGAGCGAGCGUUGUUCGGAAUUAUUGGGCGUAAAGGGCUCGUAGGCGGUUUGAUAAGUCUGGUGUGAAAGACUACAGCUUAACUGUGGGAACGCGCUGGAAACUGUCUGACUUGAAUCCGUGAGGGGUAUGUGGAAUUCCUGGUGUAGGGGUGAAAUCUGUUGAUAUCAGGAAGAACACCUGAGGCGAAGGCGACAUACUGGCACUGGAUUGACGCUGAUGAGCGAAAGCGUAGGGAGCGAACAGGAUUAGAUACCCGAGUAGUC